rnacentral:misc_RNA from 1 species
GAUGAAGAACGCAGCGAAAUGCGAUACGUAAUGUGAAUUGCAGAAUUCAGUGAAUCAUCGAGUCUUUGAACGCACAUUGUGCCCCCUGGUAUUCCGGGGGGCAUGCCUGUCCGAGCGUCAUUGCUGCCCUCAAGCACGGCUUGUGUGUUGGGCCUCCGUCCUCCUGCCGGGGGACGGGCCCGAAAGGCAGCGGCGGCACCGCGUCCGGUCCUCGAGCGUAUGGGGCUUCGUCACCCGCUCUUGUAGGCCCGGCCGGCGCUUGCCGACACAUCAAUCUUUUUUCCAGGUUGACCUCGGAUCAGGUAGGGAUACCCGCUGAACUUAAGCAUAUCAAUAAGCGGAGGA